CCAAUAGCGUAUAUUAAAGUUGUUGCAGUUAAAAAGCUCGUAGUUGAAUUUCGGAAUCUGUCCGUUGGUCGGGCUUAAUUGUCCGUACUGAUGUGAUGGGUUCUUACCUUCUGAAUAACCAGCAUGCCAUUAAUUUGGUGUGUUGGGGAAGCAGGACUAUUACCUUGAAAAAAUUAGAGUGCUCAAAGCAGGCUAGCGCCUGAAUACAUUAGCAUGGAAUAAUAAAAUAGGACGGCAUGGUUCUAUUUUGUUGGUUUCUAGGAUCACCGUAAUGAUUAAUAGGGAUAGUUGGGGGCAUUAGUAUUCAAUUGUCAGAGGUGAAAUUCUUGGAUUUAUUGAAGACUAACUUCUGCGAAAGCAUUUGCCAAGGAUGUUUUCAUUAAUCAAGAACGAAAGUUAGGGGAUCGAAGACGAUCAGAUACCGUCGUAGUCUUAACCAUAAACUAUGCCGACUAGGGAUCGGAUGAUGUUAAUUUUAUAAUGACUCAUUCGGCGCCUUACG
rnacentral:rRNA from 1 species